rnacentral:lncRNA from 1 species
AUAGGCAUAAAUCCAUUUCUUAGCUACUAAAACUGGAUAGCUCCUACCUGUUAGUUCCUUCAUUGCUACAUGUUCUUUCUUUGUUUAAAUAUUGUUCCCUUCAGAUGAACUCUUUGAUUGUAAGUAUGUAGAAUGUGCCAAAGCUGUUAAAAUACAUAUCCUCUGGCAUAUGAAUUUUCCAAGAAUAAUGAAUUUUGAAGAAAGAAAACACCAGGAAUGGAAAAAAAAAAAAAAGUGAAAAAUUACAUUAGAUAUAUCUAACCCAUGUGUUCUCAAUUUAUGCCCUCAAUUAGUCAGCUUUAUUUUAUGGUAGUAAAUGAUUUGCUGUCAUACAAUCUUGUCAAUGUAACCUUAGCUGAGCAAGCAUCUGAAUGGAGCAGAAAGACAGGUAAUCCAUUGCAGCCCCGUUCAGCCCCUCACAUUAGGAAUUUAUGUUCCCAGAGCACACUUAAGACCAGAAUAGUACACCCUGCUACUUGGGAAACAGCAAAAUGCCAGUCCUUUCAUGUGAUACUAUGUAGGCAAUAA